rnacentral:rRNA from 1 species
GUGGGGAAUUUUGGACAAUGGGCGAAAGCCUGAUCCAGCCAUGCCGCGUGUGUGAAGAAGGUCUUCGGAUUGUAAAGCACUUUAAGUUGGGAGGAAGGGCAGUAAGUUAAUACCUUGCUGUUUUGACGUUACCGACAGAAUAAGCACCGGCUAACUUCGUGCCAGCAGCCGCGGUAAUACGAAGGGUGCAAGCGUUAAUCGGAAUUACUGGGCGUAAAGCGCGCGUAGGGGGUUUUGUAAGUUGGAGGUGAAAUCCCCGGGCUCAACCUGGGAGCUGCCUCCAAAACUGAAUGACUAGAGUACGGGAGAGGGUAGUGGAAUUUCCUGUGUAGCGGUGAAAUGCGUAGAUAUAGGAAGGAACACCAGUGGCGAAGGCGACUACCUGGACUGAUACUGACACUGAGGUGCGAAAGCGUGGGGAGCAAACAGGAUUAGAAACCCCGGUAGUCC